rnacentral:lncRNA from 10 species
CUCGCGUUGGAGGAGCUUGCUCUGAGCUGCUGCCACCUGCUGGGCUGGAGCUGGAGCUGGAGCUGCGAAUUCGGAGUCCCGGUUCCCUGUGCCACCUGGCGAGCUCAGCAAACUAAAAGUCUCUUUGUCUUCAUCGUUUCCGGCACUGAUGUGAGCACAUCAUAAGCACAAGACCUGGACACCUUUACAAUCAGAGGGCCUAGGACUGGAGCUCUGGAUCUGACCGGAGCAAAGAGGAAGCACGCAAAUCCGGACAUGACGACGAGGAGGCAGUAGAGACCCAUCCUCAACUACCCCCUGAGUGCCGAUCCCACCUGUGAAAGGGGAGGAGCAGAUCUGGGGAAGGGAUAUGCCCAGAGGAAAUCAACAAGACCAAAGAGACGUCAGAGUCCUGAUGGCCAAAAUCAGACACCAGCUUUCCUGAGAAGGCAGAAGAGAGAGCCCCAUAGAAGCAGUGGGGGCUCAGAAGGUUCAGUGGGUUCACAGGGGAGCAGAGGCUCCUGAGGGCUUACUCAGACAGGAAGCAGCCCCCCAAAACAUACUUCCCCUUCUCCUCCCACAGAAACAGAACAGAUAAAGUUCAGAAUUCUAGGCCCAAAAGGGUGCAACACCCUUCAACCAGUUUCAGUGAAGAGCUUGCUGGCCUGGGAAGUAAAGAAGGGGUUUCCAAAUACAGCAGUUUAUAAAACAGUCCUGGUGAGCUAUGAAGUGAAAGAGGGGGAGUCACAGAGCUGCUCCCAGUUCACCUGCUUGUGCUAAGAAACAAUAAAAUACAAAUUGCUUCCCCACCCCAACCCUCAGUACAAAGCAAACUUCACACCAGAGCCACCAUCAGUGACAGGCCCAGUGGCGGUGGAUGAGGAAGAGAAUACAAAAGGGAACGUCUUUAAAAUCUCUUCAAAAUCAUUUUGUAUAGAGAAGUAAAAGCAACUCAGGCGAUAUGAAUUCAAACCUCAGUGUAGAAAUCUAUCAAAGUCGGUACAGUGUCCAGGCACGCCGUCCCGGAGACGGAGGAAGUGACUAGAAAACAUUAUUGCUGGAGAGGCUUUUCUCAGUAGAACAAGAGCAGGUAUAAAAGGGGAGGGCGGGUCUAAAAGGCAGGGGCAGUCGCCAGGCCUAGGGCACUGGAAGGGUAGGAGGAGCACAGAGAACCUUCCAUGGCCCCUUUGGUUCUCUGCCUUUGGAUGGAUGGAUUUAUGCUGGCAUUGUCUGGAGGGAGCCGGGUGUCCCCCAAUAAUCACAGAACAAAGACAAUUAGGUCGGGGGAGGAAUAAGGAUAAAAAGAGACCCCAACAGACCCUGCCUGCCCUUCCCUGCCCCCCGGCUGCACUGCUGAAAUAUGAGGAAGAGAUGGCUCCAGUGUGGGGUGCUGGCCAGGCCAGUUCGUGGGGACGUACAUGGGCUGGGGUGGAGCCCCCAGCCUCUACCCCUGGGGAGGAUGGAGAGUGGGCAGCCUAGGGAGAGCUACAGGAGGGAGGAGGGGGCCCAGAGGCUCUGGCAGGGGUGAAGACAAGCAGGGGGACCCCUCACGGCCCUCUGUCCAUCCCGCACCAGCGGAGGACAAGGGUUCCAGUUUCAGUCGGGUUUACCCCUUCACCCCCGGGUGAAGUCUCUAGGUCACAGUCGCAGUUGGGGAUGCUGGCUGGGGAAGGGGGGCAGAGACAGGGGCAGGGCACCUAGCAGAAGAGCUUGAGGAAGCAGUUCUGACAGUAAGGCUUGUCGUUCUGCUCCUUGAAGGUGCCCUUGUUGAGCUGCUUGAGGCAGAAGGCACAGACGAAGUGCUCGGGGUGGAACUUCUUGGCCAUGGCGGUGAUGCAGCGGCCGGUGAUGGGCUUCUGGCAGCCAGAACACAGCGAGCCGCGCCGCUCGUGGUAGUGCACCUCACAGUAGGGCUGCCCGUCGUGCUCGAAGAAGCUGCCGUUCACGAAUGGCGUGAAGCAUUCCUGCCAGGCGGAGAGAGGGGCUCAGGGAGCUGCCCCUCGGGCUAGAGCUGCACCCUGUGUGAUGGGGCCGAGGUGGGCAUAGUCGGCACGCUCGGAGUGACUCCUACUUGCUAGGCGUUUCCCAUGUGCCGUGUUGUCCUAAACGCUCAUUUUUCAUUUUUAUUUUAUUAAAUAAAUUUUUUUUGUAGAGAUGGGGGUCUCACUAUAUUGCCCAUGCUGGUCAAAUGUGGCCUCCUGCAAUCCUCCCACCUCGGCCUCCCACAGGGCUGGGAUUAUUUAGUUCUCCCAACAGGGGAGGCAACUGAAGCACACAGGUGAAGUAACUUGCCCAGGGUCAUGCAGCUACUGAGGUCACAGCCUGGAUUCAUACACAGGUCUGACUCCUGAGCACUUAGCCAGGUGGCUGUAACAGUGUUCCCAGAAACACAGGUGUGACACUGGUCUGUAGUCAAACUCUGCCUCCUAGAUUCUCAUUGGAGAUUCACAUCACAUAUAGGUAGAAAAGGCUCUGAGAGGGGCCGGGUGAGGUGGCUCACACUUGUAAUCCCAGCACUUUGGGAGGCCAAGGGAGGCGGAUCACCUGAGGUCAGGAGUUCAAGACCAGCUUGGCCAACAUGGUGAAACCCCGUCUCUACUGAAAAUACAAAAAAUUAGCCAGGCAUGGGGGCGUGUGCCUGUAAUCUCAGCUACUUGGGAGGCUGAGGCGGGAGAAUCACUGGAACUCAGCAGGCAGAGGUUGCAGUCAGCCAAGAUCGUGCCACUGCACACCAGUCUGGGCAACAGAGUGAGACUCCGUCUCAAAAAAAGAAAAGAAAAGAAAAGGCUCUGAGAAGUCCUGCAGGGAACAGUGUUUCCCAAACUCAUUUGGUCAGAGAGCCCUUGUUGAAUCAUUAAUAACCCCUGUGGGGCCCCCAGAAUGCAGUGGUUUUGGAAACCACUGCCCAUUUCUGUUGAGUCUGCUAAAUACUUGCAUUAUCUCAUUUAGUUCUCACACACUCUCCUCCCAAAUAGGAAUGGCCCAGGGCCGCUGCACAGGGCUGGACUGGGGGACAUGUCUACCUUGCUCCUGGUUUGUCCCAGCCUCAGUACAAACCCUGGCCCAGGACCUACUGGACUGGAGGAAGGAGAUCCCCUGCCUGCUCCCCCAAUUAAUAACCCCAAAUGAGGCCUCUGAGUUGGAUCCAGACAGCACAAUGAGGAAGACCCCUCUCUCCCCACUGCCUGCUCCUCGCCCCUCCAGAUGUGGUCAGGGGCUCCUUACCCGGCACACAAAGCACUCAGGAUGCCACAGCGUGUUGAGGGCUGAGAUAUAGUUCUCCAGGAUGGCCCGGGCGCAGCCGCCACACUUGGGUGCGAACAUGUCGAAGUAGUCCUUGCGACAGUAGGCCUUGCCGUCCUUCUCGUGGAACCCUGGGGAGCGGGGGUUUUGGAGGCACAGUUCAUUCCGGCUUCCAGAAGUGGAGCCACUCUGACUCCAACCUCAGCAGCGUCUCCCACCCCCACCUCCCCGGCCCUCCUAAGAGGCGGUGGGUCAGUCCGCCGGUCCAGCCCGUACCUUCGGGACCAAAGAAGGCUCCACACUGUGCACAGAAGAAGUGUUCAGGGUGCCACGUCCGGUCAAGGGCUGUCACCACUUUCUGUGAAAGCAAAAUGUGGGAUCAAGGCUGAGCUCUGGGCAGAUCUCACAACUGAGACGCCCAGCAAGGCCGUCCUUCCACCCGCAGCUCAUAGCCAUAGACAGAGCAAAACACUCCCAAGAUGGGGGUCUCUCCUAAUUGUGCUGUGAAUGCCUCUAAGAAUUCAGAGUUACUCAGGAUGGGACAAGCCAGACACAUACCCUCUCCUCUACUCCUCACCCCAAGUAGAGGGCACAAGUUCUAUGACUCCCAUUUUAUAAGUGAAGAAACAUAGGCUCAGAGAGGCCAGGCAUUUCCUAAGUUCACAGAGAGGGAGAGUGAGGCCGCUGGCAUCCAACUCCAUUUAUCUCCUCAGGGCUCCUGAGUCCUGGGAGUCUCCACAGAAAGGAAUCGAGAUGGGAGGUGAAGGGAGGUGGGGCUGCCCGAUGCACAUCGGGACAGGCUGUGGUUCAGGUGUGGCUG